rnacentral:sRNA from 1 species
UGCCGAUGAUUUGCAGCUUUAUGCUCAGGC